rnacentral:rRNA from 1 species
AGUGAAUAGAUACCCUGGUAGUCCACGCUGUAAACGAUGAGUGCUGGACGUUGGCGGGUUUACCUGCCGGUGUCGCAGCUAACGCGUUAAGCACUCCGCCUGGGGAGUACGGCCGCAAGGUUAAAACUCAAAGGAAUUGACGGGGCCCGCACAAGCGGUGGAGCAUGUGGUUAAAUUCGACGCAACGCGCAGAACCUUACCAGCCCUUGACAUGGGCGGACGGGUCCGAGAGAUGGACGUCUUUCUCGCAAGAGACCGCUACACAGGUGCUGCAUGGCUGUCGUCAGCUCGUGUCGUGAGAUGUUGGGUUAAGUCCCGUCAACGAGCGCAACCCUCGUCUCCAGUUGCCAUCGGGUAGAGCCGGGCAC